rnacentral:rRNA from 1 species
CGUUAGAGUGAAUGCAGGAUUCCAGGUCUAAGACCGGAGAUGAAUGCAGAUAUACCUGACGACUGCCGCCUGUCGACUGACGACCGAAUAGUGGCGGACGGGUGAGUAACGCGUGGAUAACCUGCCCACAAGCCUGGGAUAACGCCGGGAAACUGGUGCUAAUACCGGAUAAGUUCUUUGGGGUGCAUGCCUUGGAGAAGANNGGGGAAACCCGCUUAUGGAUGGAUCCGCGUCCCAUUAGCUAGUUGGUGGGGUAACGGCCUACCAAGGCGACGAUGGGUAGCCGGCCUGAGAGGGUGGCCGGCCACACUGGGACUGAGACACGGCCCAGACUCCUACGGGAGGCAGCAGUGGGGAAUCUUCCGCAAUGGGCGAAAGCCUGACGGAGCAACGCCGCGUGAGUGACGAAGGCCCU